GUGGAGAGGUGGUGAGCGCAGGGGCUGGUUUGGCCCAGGCAACUCAGCCUCCUUGAGGGGCCCUCAUGGUCUCUCCCAACCCACAUGCCAUGCUGACCGUGGUGGUAGAAGUGGAGUCGGGGAGGGGUUCAGGAACAAAACUUCACCUUUGACAGUCCUGGGCCCUGAUGCUGCUCAGGAGGCAGAGCAGGAGCUGCUGGCACGUGUCCAAUCCACACUGGGCUCUCUGGGCCGAGGGUACAGUGUGGCCCUGUUGCUCCGGGGGAGGGAAACAGAGGCACCCCGACUUGUGCCUCAGCUGCUGCAGAUGCUGUUUGAAGAAGCUCUGCCCCUCAGCUGCUCUGAUCCUGUGCUUAGCACUCUUAGCCUGGUGCAGGGCCUGCUGUCUGCUCACUCUCACCAUGUCCUGCCCAGGGCCUGACCCUCCUGAGGGGCCCGGGACCCAGCGUGUGUGGCAAGGGGCUCUACGGAUCCUACAGCUCCCAGGAGCCCCAGAUGGGGUUUCACCAUAUCAGCCAGGCUGGUCUCGAACUCCUGACCUCAAGUGAUUCGCCAGCCUCGUCCUCCCAAAGUGCUGGGAUUACAGGUGUGAGCCACCAUGCCCAUGGAGAAUGUAUUACUUUUGUAAUUUAAAAAAUAAUAGUAAUAAAAUAAAGAUCUGUA
rnacentral:lncRNA from 1 species